CCUACGGGAGGCAGCAGUAAGGAAUAUUGGUCAAUGGAGGCAACUCUGAACCAGCCAUGCCGCGUGCAGGAUGACGGCCCUAUGGGUUGUAAACUGCUUUUAUACAAGAGAAAACCCUGGUACGUGUACCAGGUUGAUAGUAUUGUAAGAAUAAGCAUCGGCUAACUUCGUGCCAGCAGCCGCGGUAAGACGAAGGAUGCAAGCGUUAUCCGGAUUCAUUGGGUUUAAAGGGUGCGUAGGCGGACUGAUAAGUCAGUGGUGAAAUCUCUUUGCUUAACAAAGAAACUGCCAUUGAUACUGUCGGUCUAGAGUAUAGAUGACGUUGGCGGAAUAUGACAUGUAGUGGUGAAAUACUUAGAUAUGUCAUAGAACACCGAUUGCGAAGGCAGCUAACGAAACUAUAACUGACGCUGAGGCACGAAAGUGCGGGGAUCAAACAGGAUUAGAUACCCUGGUAGUCCGCACCGUAAACGAUGAUUACUCGUUGUUGGCGAUAUGACAGUCAGCGACCAAGCGAAAGCGAUAAGUAAUCCACCUUGGGGAGUAGCCGGNAACGGUUGAAACUUCAAANAGAGUUAGAGNGNGAGAGNGCGAGACGACGACGAGGAGAG
rnacentral:rRNA from 1 species